rnacentral:rRNA from 1 species
CCUACGGGCGGCUGCAGUCGAGAAUCUUCGGCAAUGGGCGAAAGCCUGACCGAGCGACGCCGCGUGCGGGAAGAAGGCCUUCGGGUUGUAAACCGCUGUUGGGGGGGAACAAACCAACGAGUGAACCCCUGAGGAAGUACGGGCUAAGUUCGUGCCAGCAGCCGCGGUAAGACGAACCGUACGAACGUUAUUCGGAAUCAUUGGGCUUAAAGGGCGCGUAGGCGGCGGAGUAAGUCUGUGGUGAAAUCCCAUCGGCUCAACCGUGGGACAGCUUC